rnacentral:misc_RNA from 1 species
GGAAAACUGACAGAAGAAACCUUCUCAGCGUUUAGCUUUUAAGAGACAGAACAACGAGGUGUUUGUGGUUGUGAGUGGGAAAGUGGUUUUGCAAGGAAAGGAAACCCACAUCCAAUUAGGAGAUGGUCCCGUAAGGAUUGUUGUAAUUUCAAAGAAACUUGAUGGAUAAAAUUGCCAUUGUGGGGGGCAGGGGUAGGCCAGGGUCCAACUGAAGGUUGCCUUACAUGAAGAUGGGAUAGUUAGGAGAGGCAAAGUUGGAGGAUGUUUUUCAGCUUUCACAGUAUUCACACCUCUCUCUUGCUGUGAGUAAUAAUAGAGAGAAGCAAGUACCGCUUGGAUUUUUGAUUUUGGUUUGUCAAUGCUCGUUUUGUAGCACCUGGGGAGGCAUCUUUGCUUAGGUCCACAUGUGGAGGAACGUGAACAUGGGUGUACGGUCUGCGGCAAGAAUUUGUAUUUCUUUUCUUUUUUUU